rnacentral:rRNA from 1 species
CGAGACACGAGAAAUCUUGUCGGAAGCAGGCGGGACCAUCCGUCAAGGCUAAAUAUACCCAAGUGACCGAUAGUGAACCAGUACCGUGAGGGAAAGGUGAAAAGAACCGCGGGAGCGGAGUGAAAUAGAACCUGAAACCGUAUGCUUACAAGAAGUCAGAGCCCGUUAAAGGGUGAUGGCGUGCCUUUUGUAGAAUGAACCGGCGAGUUACGUUAUCGUGCGAGGUUAAGUAGAAGAUACGGAGCCGAAGCGAAAGCGAGUCUUAAUAGGGCGACAGUACGAUGAUGUAGACCCGAAACCGUGUGAUCUAGCCAUGACCAGGUUGAAGUUGGGGUAAAACCCGAUGGAGGACCGAACCGACCCCCGUUGAAACGUUGGCGGAUGAGUUGUGGCUAGGGGUGAAAUUCCAAUCGAACUCGGAGAUAGCUGGUUCUCCCCGAAAUAGCUUUAGGGCUAGCGUCGAGGUAAAGUCGUGUGAAGGUAGAGCACUGAAUAUGUGAUGGCCCCAUCUCGGGGUACUGAACAUAAUCAAACUCCGAAUGUCACAAAGAUAUACUCGGCAGUCAGACAGUGGGUGAUAAGGUCCAUUGUCAAAAGGGAAACAGCCCAGACCAUCAGCUAAGGUCCCAAAAUAUAUACUAAGUGGAAAAGGAUGUGGAGAUGUCCAGACAACUAGGAGGUUGGCUCAGAAGCAGCCAUCCUUUAAAGAGUGCGUAACAGCUCACUAGUCGAAUGACUCUGCGCCGAUAAUUUACCGGGGCUAAGUAUAUUACCGAAGCUAUGGAUUUACGCGUAAGCGUGAGUGGUAGGGGAGCGUUCUAUGUGCGGAGAAGCGGUACCGUAAGGAGCCGUGGAGCGCAUAGAAGAGAGAAUGCCGGUGUGAGUAGCGAGAUGUAGGUGAGAAUCCUACACACCGAUAGCCCAAGGAUUCCAGGGGAAGGUUCGUCCGCCCUGGGUAAGUCGGGACCUAACGCGAGGCCGAAAGGCGUAGUGGAUGGAAAACAGGCAGAUAUUCCUGUACCCGCGAUGGAAAUGAAGGAAUGACGGAGAAGGCUAGUGUGAGCCACUGAACGGAUUGUGGUCGAAGCAUAUAGCAGGCUGACAGUGAAAUGCGUCAGCAGGAUGUAAGAUGUGAGAGGUAAGGGAACGUCCUUGGACAAGUACUGAAGCACAUGAUGCCAGCUUCCAAGAAAAGUUUCUAGUGAUAAUUCCAUAGCGGCCCGUACCAAAACCGACACAGGUGGGCAAGGAGAGAAUCCUGAGGUGAGCGAGAGAACUGUUGCCAAGGAACUCGGCAAAAUGACUCCGUAAGUUAGCGAUAAGGAGUGCUCUUGUAAAAGAGAGCCGCAGUGAAGAGGCCCAAGCGACUGUUUAACUAAAACACAGCUCUCUGCAAAGUCGCAAGACGAAGUAUAGGGGGUGACGCCUGCCCGGUGCUGGAAGGUUAAGAGGAUUUGUCAUCCGCAAGGAGAAGCAAUGAAUUGAAGCCCCAGUGAACGGCGGCCGUAACUAUAACGGUCCUAAGGUAGCGAAAUUCCUUGUCAGGUAAGUUCUGACCCGCACGAAAGGCGUAACGAUUUGGGCGCUGUCUCAGCUGUAGACUCGGUGAAGUCUUAGUACCUGUGAAGAUGCAGGUUACCCGCGACUAGACGGAAAGACCCCAUGGAGCUUUACUGUAGCUUGAUAUUGGACUUUGAUGCAAGAUGUACAGGAUAGGUAGGAGACUGAGAGACAUGCACGCCAGUGUGUGAGGAGUCAAUGUUGGGAUACUACUCUUCUUGUAUUGGAGUUCUAACCGGAUGCCAUGGAACUGGCAACGGGACAGUGUCAGGUGGGCAGUUUGACUGGGGCGGUCGCCUCCCAAAGAGUAACGGAGGCGCCCAAAGAUACCCUCAGCUUGGAUGGAAAUCAAGCGCAGAGUGCAAAGGCAUAAGGGUGUUUGACUGCGAGACCUACAAGUCGAGCAGGGACGAAAGUCGGGCUUAGUGAUCCGGCGGUGCUGAAUGGAAAGGCCGUCGCUCAACGGAUAAAAGCUACCCUGGGGAUAACAGGCUGAUCUCCCCCAAGAGUUCACAUCGACGGGGAGGUUUGGCACCUCGAUGUCGGCUCAUCGCAUCCUGGAGCUGAAGUCGGUUCCAAGGGUUGGGCUGUUCGCCCAUUAAAGCGGUACGCGAGCUGGGUUCAGA